GAUUGUUACUUAACAAAAAGAGGACAUACAUAUACGCGAGUGUGCUUAGAAUGCUUCUUAACUAGUUAGCACUUGAUGUUUCUUUCUUCUUGGCUACCUUCUUGCGUCGCGGUCGGAGGUAGCUAAGUUCUUAACCUUCGGAGCUUGUGUGAGACGGUUUCCUGUCUUUUAGUUAGUUAACUCGCCUAAAUAGUAUGAGGUUCGUCCUUGUAGUCUUGAACUUUAACCCGUGUUAAAAGUUAAUGUGUUCCUUCUGCGUGUCUUUUCCUAUACCCGCAACCGUAGGUCCUAGUGAGCUAGCUUUUAGGUAUGGUUAUUGACAUUCGUAGGUACACUAAAGAAGUUAAACACUACAAGAAUGGAGAAUUUACUCUAGCCGGCGCCUAGUCGCCUGAGCUAAGGCCUGCCUCCUUCCAGAUUCGCCGCCGGCGAGCAGGUGAGAGGAGGAGGGAAAAGGGGGACCUACGCUACCAACUCCGGCGUGGGCGCCGGAGGUAGCCGUGUCGGCAGAUGUCGCCGCUGUUGGUGUAGGGCCGUCGUUGCGAGGAGGGAGGCCUCCUCGUGGUGCCGGGCGGUGCGUCGGGCCGUUGUCUCUGCCGGUUGCGCGUACGCCUCGCGUCAAGAGAGGCGGUGUGGAACCGUGCCGCCGCCGGAAGCCGAGGCUGCGGCGAAGAGGACUACGCCGCGCUACCGCGCCGCCGGUUGUAGGCAGGGUGCCGCACCUCUACGACGGGUCCGCGUCUGCUGGAAGCUAACCGCUGCGGUAGAAGGGAGGAUUAAGGAGUGCUCCUCUACACGAUACUGAGACAUGUCGGUUUCGAUUGAGUUAGCUACCUAAGAACCGGCAUCGCUCUUAGUGGCCUCUUGGAAUAGAGAAGCCGGUAAAUUGUUAAACGUAAAAAAAUAACGGUUUAUUCCUGUAGUCGAAAUCAUGAUGAACGUAUCUUCGGGAGUCCGAUUAACACUAGCAUAGUGAGUCUGAGAGACCAGAAGUAUAACACGUAGUAUAAAAUUUUUUACUUAAGAUGUACAUAAUACUCG
rnacentral:rRNA from 1 species